UCCCUGAUGGUCCAGUGGCUAGGACUCCAUGUUCCCAAUGGAGGGGGCCUGGGUUCAAUCCCUGGUCAGAGAU
rnacentral:tRNA from 1 species